UCCUAGCGUGGGUGAAACCCUACUUCCUCCUCACAGAAAUGAAUCUUCAGGCCACAAGAGUGCUACAUCAUUUGCCAUUUACAUGUGGACCCUAAACGACCCUUUGCUUGGGAAUAAUGAAACUGGAAGAGUGCAAAUUAAACCCUGAAGGCAGCAUCCAAAAGUAAGAAGACUAAGCAGAUUUCACUUUUCGGCAAAAAUUAUACAACAGCUUCCCCAUCUUCAAAACGAGAGAAGGUCAGAGUUGGAUAACCUCGAGAACCACAGAAGCUCAUCAGGAGACCACCUGAGGCCAGAUAAAGGAAUGCAGGCCCAACACACACCCUGAUCCUUCUCAGCAACCCCGCCCUUGAAAUACUGUUAUAAAACUCCUCACCAAAUCCCCCCUGGGUAGGGACACACAGUUUUGAGGGCAUGAGCCCACUGUGUCCCCCUUUCCCUGGCAAAGCAAUAAAGCUAU